rnacentral:rRNA from 1 species
GUAAAUAAUUAAGGGCGUAUGGUGGAUGCCUAGGCUCUCAGAGGCGAUGAAGGACGUGAUAAGCUGCGAAAAGCUCCGUUUAGGUGCAAAUAACCUUUGAUGCGGAGAUUUCCGAAUGGGAUAACCCAAUAUGUUGAAGACAUAUUAUACCGUAAGGUAGGCAAACGCAGGGAACUGAAACAUCUAAGUACCUGCAGGAGAAGAAAACAAACAGUGAUUCCCCCAGUAGCGGCGAGCGACCGGGGAAAAGCCCAAACCGUUAUUGUUUCGGCAGUAGCGGGGUAGUAGGACUGCGACAUUGAUGAAAUAAAUGAAAUGGAACACCUUGGAAAAUGUGAUCACAGAGGGUGAUAAUCCCGUACAUGCAAGUUUAUGAAUCAUAGCAGUAUCCUGAGUAAGUCGGGACACGUGUAAUCCUGACCGAAUCCGCCGGGACCAUCCGGCAAGGCUAAAUACUCCUGAGAGACCGAUAGUGAACCAGUACCGUGAGGGAAAGGUGAAAAGCACUUCGAACAGAAGAGUGAAAUAGUCCCUGAACCCAUACGCCUACAAGCUGUCGGAGCCGCUUCGUGCGGUGACGGCGUGCCUUUUGCAUAAUGAGCCUACGAGUUACUCAUCACCAGCGAGGUUAAGUACUUCAGGUACGUAAGCCGAAGCGAAAGCGAGUCUGAAUAGGGCGUCAAGUUGGUGGUGGUAGACGCGAAACCUAGUGAUCUACCCAUGGGCAGGGUGAAGGUUUGGUAACACAAACUGGAGGACCGAACCGGUAAACGUUGAAAAGUUUUCGGAUGACCUGUGGGUAGGGGUGAAAGGCCAAUCAAACUGGGAAAUAGCUCGUACUCUCCGAAAUGCAUUUAGGUGCAGCCUCUGUUGUUUUGUUCUAGAGGUAGAGCUACUGAUUGGAUGCGAGGGCUUCACCGCCUAUCAAAUCCGGCCAAACUCCGAAUGCUAGAACAUGAAGACAGGGAGUGAGCCAGCGGGUGCUAAGGUCCGUUGACGAAAGAGGGAGAACUCAGACCAUCAGCUAAGGUCCCCAAUUAUAUGCUAAGUUGGAAUUAAAACGGGGUGGGACUGCUUAGACAGCUAGGAUGUUGGCUUGGAAGCAGCCAUUCAUUUAAAGAGUGCGUAACAGCUCACUAGUCGAGCGGUCCUGCAUGGAUAAUACGCGGGCAUAAGCAUAUAACCGAAGCUAUGGGAUUGUAGAUGAUACAAUCGGUAGGAGAGCAUUCCAUUCAGCAUAGAAGCAGUACCGUGAGGUAUUGUGGAGCGGAUGGAAAAGCAAAUGUAGGCAUAAGUAACGAUAAUGCGGGUGAGAACCCCGCACGCCGAAAGAUCAAGGAUUCCCCGGCAAUGUCAAUCAUCCGGGGGUAAGUCGGAUCCUAAGGGUAAGCCGAGUGGCGAUCCCGAUGGUAAACAGGUUAAUAUUCCUGUACUGAUCAUAACUGCGAUGCAGCGACGCAGAGGUGACACUGCUGCGUACUGACGGAAUAGUACGUUGAAACCCGUAUUCUUUGAUACCGGUAGUGAAGCACGCCGGUAGAGAUGAAAGGUGAUAGUACCGCAAUGCUUCGGUUGCGCGGAUAACGCAGGUAAGCUGACUGCCAAGAAAACCUGCUAAGCUUCAGGUAAUGAUAUCCGUACUGUAAACGGACACACGUGAUCAGGUAGAAAAUACUAAGGCGCUCGAGAGAUUCAUGGUUAAGGAACUAGGCAAAAUGGUCCUGUAACUUCGGGAUAAAGGACGCUCUUGUGAAAGAGCCGCAGAUAAUAGGCCCAGGCGACUGUUUACCAAAAACACAUGGCUAUGCUAAUUCGCAAGAAGAUGUAUAUGGCCUGACACCUGCCCGGUGCCGGAAGGUUAAGAGGAGAGCUCAGAUGUAAGUCGAAGGUUUGAAUUGAAGCCCCGGUAAACGGCGGCCGUAACUAUAACGGUCCUAAGGUAGCGAAAUUCCUUGUCGGGUAAGUUCCGACCUGCACGAAUGGUGUAACGAUCUGGGUACUGUCUCAACCAUGAGCUCGGUGAAAUUGUAGUUCCGGUGAAGAUGCCGGAUACCCGCAACGGGACGGAAAGACCCCGUGAACCUUUACUGCAGCUUUGCAUUGAUUUUGGGUAACAGAUGUGUAGGAUAGGUCGGAGGCUUUGAUGCUGCGUCGUCAGGCGUAGAGUAGCCGUCGUUGAAAUACGACCCUUUUGUUAUCUGAGGUCUAAUCCCGUUAGGGAGACAUUGCAUGGUGGGUAGUUUGACUGGGGUGGUCGCCUCCAAAAGUGUAACGGAGGCUUCUCAAGGUACCCUCAAGGCGUUUGGUAAUCGUCUGCAGAGUGCAAUGGCAUAAGGGUGCUUGACUGUGAGACCGACACGUCGAUCAGGUUGGAAACAAGAGCAUAGUGAUCCGGUGGUUCCGCAUGGAAG